CAGCAGCCGCGGUAAUACGUAGGUGGCAAGCGUUGUCCGGAAUUAUUGGGCGUAAAGCGCGCGCAGGCGGAUAGGUCAGUCUGUCUUAAAAGUUCGGGGCUUAACCCCGUGAUGGGAUUGAAACUGCCAAUCUAGAGUAUCGGAGAGGAAAGUGGAAUUCCUAGUGUAGCGGUGAAAUGCGUAGAUAUUAGGAAGAACACCAGUGGCGAAGGCGACUUUCUGGACGAAAACUGACGCUGAGGCGCGAAAGCCAGGGGAGCGAACGGGAUUAGAUACCCCUGUAGUCCCUGUCUCUUAUACA
rnacentral:rRNA from 1 species